rnacentral:lncRNA from 1 species
ACUGUGUCAGUUUACGAUGGCAGCAACGGAAGUUGUUACAAAGAAAGUGACUGCGGGGUGGCUGGAGCUCAGCCGCCCCCCCAUUGAGAAGAUUCGUCGUCCUGAGAAGUCGCGUGCUGGAGGUGGAGUGUGUCUAGAAGCAUUUGCGGUGGACGAUGGAAGGGCCGGCCUCGUCGUACUCCUGCUUGGUGAUCCACAUCUGCUGGAAGGUGGACAGCGAGGCCAGGAUGGAGCCGCCGAUCCACACCGAGUAUUUGCGCUCCGGCGGGGCGAUGAUCUGCAAGACAGCGCGUGAGGUGGGGAGACCUCACCCUGGAGCCCACCCCGCCGACAGCCCGCGCAGGCCACCACCCACCUUGAUCUUCAUGGUGCUGGGUGCCAGCGCGGUGAUCUCUUUCUGCAUGCGGUCAGCGAUCCCAGGGUACAUCGUGGUGCCCCCCGACAUGACGUUGUUGGCAUACAGGUCCUUCCUGA